rnacentral:rRNA from 1 species
AUUGAACGCUGGCGGCAGGCCUAACACAUGCAAGUCGAGCGGAUGAGGGGUGCUUGCACCCCGAUUCAGCGGCGGACGGGUGAGUAAUGCCUAGGAAUCUGCCCGAUAGUGGGGGACAACGUUUCGAAGGGAACGCUAAUACCGCAUACGUCCUACGGGAGAAAGUGGGGGCUCUUCGGACCUCACGCUAUCGGAUGAGCCUGGGUCGGAUUAGCUAGUUGGUGGGGUAAAGGCUCACCAAGGCGACGAUCCGUAACUGGUCUGAGAGGAUGAUCAGUCACACUGGAACUGAGACACGGUCCAGACUCCUACGGGAGGCAGCAGUGGGGAAUAUUGGACAAUGGGCGAAAGCCUGAUCCAGCCAUGCCGCGUGUGUGAAGAAGGUCUUCGGAUUGUAAAGCACUUUAAGUUGGGAGGAAGGGUUGUAGGUUAAUACCUUGCAGCCUUGACGUUACCGACAGAAUAAGCACCGGCUAACUUCGUGCCAGCCGCCGCGGUAA